UGCAGAUGGAUCCAAGUUGAGGACAAGGGCCCCCCCUGGGAAAUGAAGCUGGAUAUCAGCAGGCCAGGCAGUGCCCUUGAACUACCCUGAGAUGGCUCUGCCCAGCUGACCAAGAGACCCAGUUCACUGCUCCUGUGAGCCCUCCAGCAGUAUUCCAGGACUCUGAUGAAGCCUUCACCUUCUGCAAUUUGAAGAUACCAGCUGGGUGGCCUUUGGCAAGAGCCAAGCAGUUGAGCCAGGUCUAUUUUGUGAUGAUGGCAUCAG